ensembl:lncRNA
GUACAAAAUCCUCAAACUGUAUACUGAUUCAUCCUGCAUCUUAAAAUAUUCUUCAGCCAUCUCCUCUCCAACAAGGAAAGUUGGUGGUCUUCAUGGGAGCGAGUCCUCAGUCUCACUCCAUCUCGAAGUUUCCUCCCUCCCCUUCCGUCCUCGCGCCUCUUUUUCACUCCUCAGAUUACCUCUGGGAAUCCCAAAUCUUAGAAAUCCGUUAUACAGGGUCAUUUGAUUCCCCAGCAAAACUUGUCCCCUGAGGGGUGCACUUCAAAUUCAGCUCCAGGAGUUCAGCAUUUUUAUCUUUUGGGAAGAUAAAAGAAAAAUACUUUUCCCUUGUGUUAAAAAUGGCAACAUUCAUUGAACUCUUACAAUAAUAAAUAGUAAUAUUGAUAAAGAAUUGACUCUGUGCCAGGCACGGUGCAUUUUAUGUGCCUUAUCCCAUUUAAAAAUCAAAAUAUCAUCAGGUGUUGGCGCUGUCCCUCCACCCCACCCAGGCCUAGGGUAGCCGGUCCAGCUCCCAGCUGGCUGAACCCAUCACAACCCACCUGGCCAAUCCACUCUGAGUUUCAGCCUGCAAAUGUCCACCAGCUCGGGGGCUUUGCUGCUUUUGCUUUUCACCAGGUCAUUCACCUAACCCAGGAUUUUUUAACUUUGGCACUCUUGCCAUUUGGAGCCAGGAAAUCCUUUGUUUUGGGGGCUGUCCUGUGCAUUGCAGGAGGUGAUGCUAGGUUAAGAGAAGCUUGUUAUUUUUAAUGGCAUUCCCUGGAAGAAUAUAAACCCAGCAACCUUUUAAAAAAAUUUAUUUAUUUAUUUAUGCUAGUUCAUAGAAAAUCAAAAGUCUGAGAACCUUUGGCCCCAGCUCUGAAAAUCUGUAAUUUGGAGUAUGUUUUUGAAGGAAGAACUUGUACUUAGCCUGCCUGCUGACCUUUUAAUGAGUUUUAAAUAACGUCAUUGAUUAAGCUGCCCCAACAGCCUUCCUGUGAAGUAUUCACCUCAAGAGUAAAGGCAGUUGAAUGCUGGAAGAUGAGAUGCAUGCAAGACUAGCAUUCUCACCAACUAGGAAGAGGCGUGGAUCACUUCAGCUCCGAAACUCUGAAUCCUUUCUGGUGACCAUCAAAUAGGAUGAGAAAGCCAAAGCAUGUGAAUAUGGAAAGUUUAAGAAAGAGAGGAGAGGUGACUUGCCCGUGGUCCCCCAACAGGGACUUGAACCCAGGACUCCUGCUCAACUACCGGAGUCUGGCUAAUAUGGGGGCUUAGGUGGAAAGAAACUGAUGGGCCCACCUGUCACAGACAAGAGAGGACUUAGAACCCAUUCCUGCAGAGAUUAAUGCUACAAUUCCCUCAAAGGGGGUCUUUAGAGAGCCUGGCCUGGGACAUCCACAAAAUGAAAUCCCUGGAAUGAAUGGAGUCUUAGAAGGCAAUUUUGAGCCAAGGAGAUGAGCAACACCUUGUGCCCUCACUGCCCCUUCCUGCCCACCACACAUCGCAAGAAUGGGGUCCUUCAGCCCGGCGUGCUCUUCUGACUCCGCCCUCUAUACGCUUUUGCUUGCAGCAGUAGAGCCACAAUUUCACAAGAUUGUCCUGUCGGCACAGCGCUUGAUGGACACAGCAGGUAAUGGUCUGCUAUCUCGGUGGGCGUAGCAGGAGGCAAGUGGAUUGUCUGGAGCUGGGCGGUCACAGGCUGGCUCUCUCCAGUUCUUCACUCAUGUGGCCAAAACAGACGCUGUUGACCUGACCCGUCUUCACAUCACAUUUCGAGUCCCUAACAGACCAAUAAAUGGCUCUGUGGCCUGAUUCCAAAUUCCAUGGAGAGAGAAUCCCUCAGUCUUGGUCCAAUCAACUCCUGUCCACGGGUGAGAACUUGUAUCUGGGGCCUUCGUUUGUGGGUAAAGAGCCUGCUGGCAAAUAUCCUUAAAGGUUUCUCUGUGAGCACCAAAUAUAGUUUUAAAGAGCAGACAACCUCCACUUAUCCACCAACCUGGCAGGUCAGGGGGAAUCUAGCCUUCUUUUCAAAUUUUCUGUCCUGCAUUAGACAAUGUCCUUAGCCUUUUAACCUUCUGUCUCCUUAAACGCCUCUCCCCAGCAUAAACCCAUCAUAUCGCUGAGGGGGGAAAAAGCAGACGAAAAGAUUAGAUUCUCUUCCUGUUCUAAACAUGAAGUUAAUCUACUGGAAAAAAACCAUUAUUGAUUUUUAUCUUUUAUAGUCUUCUCCUGAAACAACAAUUGUGUGCUACAAUUGGCAAAAUACUUGGCUUGUUUUGGACUCAGAUCUUAAUUUUUAAAGAUUCCUGUUUGUUGUUUUUUUCAUGUUGCCUUCAAAGGGCUACUUUCGGCCAAGUGCCAUGGGAGAUAUUUGGAGGUUGAAGGAUUUUCCUUUGCCUUUAAUGCUUUGAUCAGCAAAGCAAAGCCUCAAACAGAAAUCCAAGCCAGGCAGGAGGGUGGCAGAGCGGGAGAACGGGUUCUGGGGAGCGUCCCAUUCCUUGAACUUCCUUCAGUAAUCAAGGAGACCUUGUGUGGUGCCCCCUAAGUGCUGGGCGUUGAGCUGGAGCUAGGCUUACAGAGGGCAAUCAGCUGGACAUCGCGUGUCCCACCUGGAGCGUACAGCCGUGGGAGAGGCAGGCAGAGAUAAAGAAAAUGAGGUUAACUCCUUCACCCAGGAUCAAGUCACCUGGUCGCUUGUCCGGUUAUAACUGCAAGAGCCUCCAUGCUGACCUGCGGUUGGAGUGAUCGCUCCACUCCAGCUCCUCAAAAUGAAGAUAGUCAUCAUUUUUUCCUUCUUUCCUUCUUGGGGAUUUUUAUCUUCUUAAAUACAAUCCAUUUCCUUCCUUAUUCUUUCUCUCUUUCCCAAACAUACUGAAGUUUUAUUCUAAAAAUUGCUCUUGACCUUUAGCUAAUUAUAAUACUGUAAACCCCACUGUAAUACUAUUAAAUCGGGACCAAAAAUUC